rnacentral:rRNA from 1 species
AACGAACGCUGGCGGCAUGCCUAACACAUGCAAGUCGAACGAGACCUUCGGGUCUAGUGGCGCACGGGUGCGUAACGCGUGGGAACCUGCCCUUAGGUUCGGAAUAACUCCCCGAAAGGGGUGCUAAUACCGGAUAAUGUCUUCGGACCAAAGAUUUAUCGCCUUUGGAUGGGCCCGCGUUGGAUUAGCUAGUUGGUAGGGUAAAAGCCUACCAAGGAGACGAUCCAUAGCUGGUCUGAGAGGAUGAUCAGCCACACUGGGACUGAGACACGGCCCAGACUCCUACGGGAGGCAGCAGUGGGGAAUAUUGGACAAUGGGCGAAAGCCUGAUCCAGCAAUGCCGCGUGAGUGAUGAAGGCCUUAGGGUUGUAAAGCUCUUUUACCCGGGAUGAUAAUGACAGUACCGGGAGAAUAAGCUCCGGCUAACUCCGUG